GAUGAAGAACGCAGCGAAAUGCGAUAAGUAAUGUGAAUUGCAGAAUUCAGUGAAUCAUCGAAUCUUUGAACGCACAUUGCGCCCAUCAGUAUUCUGUUGGGCAUGCCUGUCCGAGCGUCAUUUCAACCCUCAGGGCCCGUUCGCGGGAACUGGUGUUGGGGAUCGGCCUCCCCCCGGAGGCCGGCCCCGAAAUGCAGUGGCGGCUCUACCGCGAUCUCCUCUGUGUAGUAGCGAUACCUCGCAGCUGGAUAGUGGUGGUGCCACGCCGUAAAAUCCCAACUUUACCAAGGUUGACCUCGGAUCAGGUAGGAAUACCCGCUGAACUUAAGCAUAUCAUAAGCGGAGGA
rnacentral:misc_RNA from 1 species